rnacentral:misc_RNA from 1 species
GAUGAAGAACACAGUGAAAUGCGAUAAGUAAUGUGAAUUGCAGAUUUCAGUGAAUCAUCGAAUCUUUGAACGCACCUUGCGCCUUGUGGUAUUCCACAAGGCAUGCCCGUUUGAGUAUCAUUAAAUCAUCAACUCUAAAACCUUUGUGGUUUUUUUAGAGCUUGGUCUUGAGGGUUUUGCAGGCUUUUUUUUUCGAGUCUGCUCCCUUUAAAUGCAUUAGCGAGACUUCCCUAUGCUGAACCGUCUCUUUGACGUGAUAAUUAUCUGCGUCGAAUUUUGGUUCUCGUUGGGCUUGCUUCUAAUCGUCUGUUAAAGACAAAACGGAUUUGGGUGCAUAUAUGCGCCUUUUUCCAAAACCUUUUUUGAUCUCAAAUCGGGUAGGACUACCCGCUGAACUUAAGCAUAUCAAUAAGCGGAGGA